UUUCAAUUUUACAGGAGACGGCUGAAAAUAAGUCGUCUAUGGAAGUCAAAAUUUCGACAAAAUCUAGUCAAAUGCAAAAUUAACCUAGGACAACUUACAUGUAAGUCGUCUAGGUUCUUUGGAGAUUUUUUUGUAACAAAAAAAAAGCAGACGAUUUAUAUUUCAGUUGUCUCAGAAAACAGAUUUCUUCACCCCCGGUCCGCCUUGGUGAGCACCGGUCGGCUUGUCUCUUCUGUCGGCGAUACGCUCCUGGCCUUAACUGGCCGGGUCGUGCCUCCGGCGCUGUUACUUUGAAGAAAUUAGAGUGCUCAAAGCAAGCCUACGCUCUGUAUACAUUAGCAUGGGAUAACAUCAUAGGAUUUCGAUCCUAUUGUGUUGGCUUUCGGGAUCGGAGUAAUGAUUAACAGGGACAGUCGGGGGCAUUUGUAUUUCAUAGUCAGAGGUGAAAUUCUUGGAUUUAUGAAAGACGAAAACAACUGCGAAAGCAUUUGCCAAGGAUGUUUUCAUUAAUCAAGAACGAAAGUUGGGGGCUCGAAGACGAUCAGAUACCGUCCUAGUCUCAACCAUAAACGAUGCCGACCAGGGAUCAGCGGAUGUUGCUUUUAGGACUCCGCUGGCACCUUAUGAGAAAUCAAAGUUUUUGGGUUCCGGAGGGAGUAUGGUCGCAAGGCUGAAACUUAAAGGAAUUGACGGAAGGGCACCACCAGGAGUGGAGCCUGCGGCUUAAUUUGACUCAACACGGGGAAACUUACCAGGUCCAGACAUAGUAAGGAUUGACAAACUGAGAGCUCUUUCUUGAUUCUAUGGGUGGUGGUGCAUGGCCGUUCUUAGUUGGUGGAGCGAUUUGUCCGGUUAAUUCCGUUAACGAGCGAGACCUCACCGCUAACUAGCUACGUGGAGGCAUCCCUUCACGGCCGACUUCUUAGAGGGACUAUGGCGUUUUUAGGCCAAGGAAGUUUGAGGCAAUAACAGUGUCUGUGAUGCCCUUAGAUGUUUUGGGCGCGAUGCGCUUAAGCGAUGUAUUCAACGAGUUCACACCUUGGCCGACGGGCCCGGAUAAUCUUUGAAAUUUCAUCGUGAUGGGGAUAGAUCAUUGCAAUUGUUGGUCUUCAACGAGGAAUUCCUAGUAAGCGCGAGUCAUCAGCUCGCGUUGACUACGUCCCCGCCCUUUGUACACACCGCCCGUCGCUCCUACCGAUUGAAUGAUCCGGUGAAGUGUUCGGAUCGCGGCGACGUGGGUGGUUCGCCGUCUGCGACGUCGCGAGAAGUCCACUAAACCUUAUCAUUUAGAGGAAGGAGAAAUCGAACAAGGUUUCCGUAGGUGAACUCGCGCGGAAG
rnacentral:rRNA from 1 species